rnacentral:rRNA from 1 species
AUUGAACGCUGGCGGCAUGCCUUACACAUGCAAGUCGAACGGCAGCAUAGGAGCUUGCUCCUGAUGGCGAGUGGCGAACGGGUGAGUAAUAUAUCGGAACGUGCCCUAGAGUGGGGGAUAACUAGUCGAAAGAUUAGCUAAUACCGCAUACGAUCUACGGAUGAAAGUGGGGGAUCGCAAGACCUCAUGCUCCUGGAGCGGCCGAUAUCUGAUUAGCUAGUUGGUGGGGUAAAAGCCUACCAAGGCGACGAUCAGUAGCUGGUCUGAGAGGACGACCAGCCACACUGGGACUGAGACACGGCCCAGACUCCUACGGGAGGCAGCAGUGGGGAAUUUUGGACAAUGGGGGCAACCCUGAUCCAGCAAUGCCGCGUGAGUGAAGAAGGCCUUCGGGUUGUAAAGCUCUUUUGUCAGGGAAGAAACGGUUCUGGAUAAUACCUGGAGCUAAUGACGGUACCUGAAGAAUAAGCACCGGCUAACUACGUGCCAGCAGCCGCCGUAAAAC